rnacentral:rRNA from 1 species
AGAGUUUGAUCAUGGCUCAGGAUGAACGCUGGCGGCGUGCCUAACACAUGCAAGUCGAACGGACUUACAUUGAAGCCUAGCGAUAUGUAAGUUAGUGGCGGACGGGUGAGUAACGCGUGGGUAACCUGCCUUGUACUGGGGGACAACAGUUGGAAACGACUGCUAAUACCGCAUAAGCCCACGGCUCGGCAUCGAGCAGAGGGAAAAGGAGCAAUCCGCUUUGAGAUGGCCUCGCGUCCGAUUAGCUAGUUGGUGAGGUAACGGCCCACCAAGGCGACGAUCGGUAGCCGGACUGAGAGGUUGAACGGCCACAUUGGGACUGAGACACGGCCCAGACUCCUACGGGAGGCAGCA